UACCAGCACCCCGAGUGGUCGGGACGAUUAUUGGGCCUAAAGCAUCCGUAGCCGGCCUUACAAGUCCUCCGUUAAAUCCAGCUGCUUAACAGAUGGGCUGCGGAGGAUACUAUAAGACUAGGAGGCAGGAGAGGCAAGCGGUACUCAGUGGGUAGGGGUAAAAUCCGUUGAUCCAUUGAAGACCACCAGUGGCGAAGGCGGCUUGCCAGAAUGCGCUCGACGGUAGGGAUGAAAGCUGGGGGGAGCAAACCGG
rnacentral:rRNA from 1 species